UGGUGCUCUAAUCAUAAUGACACAUUUGCAUACUUCUCGCUGUGAUAAGAGUGUGAAAGUGAGGAGCAUUGUGGAGGUGGAGGUGUGGAGCAUUGUGGAGGUGGAGGUGUGGAGCAAUGUGAAGGUGGAGGUGGUGAUAUGGAGCAAUGAGGAGAUGGAUGUGUGGAGCAAUGUGGAGGUGGAGGUGGUGAUAUAGAGAAAUGUGUUGGUGGAGGUGUGGAGCAAUGUGGAGGUGGAGGUGGUGAUAUAGAGAAAUGUGGAGGUGGAGGUGUGGAGCAAUGUGGAGGUGGAGGUGGAGGUGGAGGUGGUGAUAUAGAGAAAUGUGGACGUGGAGGUAUGGGGCAAUGUGGAGGUGGAGAUGUGGAGCAAUGUAGUUGUGGAGGUAUGGGGCAAUGUGGAGGUGGAGAUGUGGAGCAAUGUAGAGGUGGAGGUGUGGGGCAAUGUGGAGGUGUGGAGCAAUGUAGAAGUGGAGGUGGAGAUGUGGAGAAAUGUGGAGGGGGGCUAAAUGCAGAUAAGCUGACACUGACCGCUGAGAAGGAACAUGAUAGAAUGCUUGCCAUAAACUCCUCAUGAAAACGAAGGACAAGCUCUUAGCAACUGGGCAAG
ensembl:lncRNA